GACGAACGCUGGCGGCGUGCUUAACACAUGCAAGUCGAACGGAAAGGCCCUGCUUUUGUGGGGUGCUCGAGUGGCGAACGGGUGAGUAACAAGUGAGUAACCUGCCCUUGACUUUGGGAUAACUUCAGGAAACUGGGGCUAAUAACGGAUAGGAGCUCCUGCUGCAUGGUGGGGGUUGGAAAGUUUCGGCGGUUGGGGAUGGACUCGCGGCUUAUCAGCUUGUUGGUGGGGUAGUGGCUUACCAAGGCUUUGACGGGUAGCCGGCCUGGGAGGGUGACCGGCCACAUUGGGACUGCGAUACGGCCCAGACGCCUACGGGAGGCAGCAGUGGAGAAUAUUGCACAAUGGGCGGAAGCCUGAUGCAGCAACGCCGCGUGCGGGAUGACGGCCUUCGGGUUGUAAACCGCUUUCGCCUGUGACGAAGCGUGAGUGACGGUAAUGGGUAAAGAAGCACCGGCUAACUACGUG
rnacentral:rRNA from 1 species